CCUACGGGAGGCAGCAGUGGGGAAUAUUGGACAAUGGGGGCAACCCUGAUCCAGCCAUGCCGCGUGUGUGAAGAAGGCCCUCGGGUUGUAAAGCACUUUCAGUGAGGAAGAACGCCUGGUGGUUAAUACCCAUCAGGAAAGACAUCACUCACAGAAGAAGCACCGGCUAACUCCGUGCCAGCAGCCGCGGUAAUACGGAGGGUGCGAGCGUUAAUCGGAAUUACUGGGCGUAAAGCGCGCGUAGGUGGCUUGAUAAGCCGGUUGUGAAAGCCCCGGGCUCAACCUGGGAACGGCAUCCGGAACUGUCAAGCUAGAGUGCAGGAGAGGAAGGUAGAAUUCCCGGUGUAGCGGUGAAAUGCGUAGAGAUCGGGAGGAAUACCAGUGGCGAAGGCGGCCUUCUGGACUGACACUGACACUGAGGUGCGAAAGCGUGGGUAGCACACAGGAUUAGAUACCCGAGUAGUC
rnacentral:rRNA from 1 species